rnacentral:rRNA from 1 species
UCUACGGGAGGCAGCAGUGGGGAAUAUUGGGCAAUGGGCGCAAGCCUGACCCAGCAACGCCGCGUGAAGGAAGAAGGCUUUCGGGUUGUAACCUUCUUUUCUCGGGGACGAAGCAAGUGACGGUACCUGAGGACUAAGCCACGGCUAACUACGUGCAAGCAGCCGCGGUAAUACGUAGGUGGCAAGCGUUAUCCGGAUUUACUGGGGGUAAAGGGCGUGUAGGCGGGGACGCAAGUCAGAUGUGAGAACCACGGGCUCAACCUGUGGCCUGCAUUUGAAACUGUGUUUCUUGAGUACUGGAGAGGCAGACGGAAGUCCUAGUGUAGCGGUGAAAUGCGUAGAUAUUAGGAGGAACACCAGUGGCGAAGGCGGUCUGCUGGACAGCAACUGACGCUGAGGCGCGAAAGCGUGGGGAGCAAACAGGAUUAGAUACCCUUGUAGUC